rnacentral:lncRNA from 1 species
CUUUUAGCAUGUUAUUAUUGCCAAGUACAUAUUAAACCUUGAUCAACAGCACUCCAUACAGUAAAACCUUAAGUGUAAAGAAACUUGGAUCACAACAUAUUAGACAAAGAGGAAAAUCAGAUCCUAACACACAUACAUAACCUGAUAGAAGGAAUUUAGUUUAAAAAAUUAAAAGCAAGCCAAACAAAAUGUCCUGGUUUAGGUAUACAUUUAGCCCAAUGCCUACGUAUCUUCUACAUUUGCUUCAGCAAUGCUGUUCUUUGAGAAAUGAGGUUCAC